CGGAUCUUUUGAACAGGUUUUUCGGCAAAUUUUCACGCCGAAACAACAUUAGGGUUUACAGCACAAGUAUAUAUAUAAAGCUGUGACCACAUCAUCUUCAUCAUCUGCCUCUGAUGACACUGACACUGUUUGUUGAAUUGGUGAGGUAUAAUGUGAAAGCCAAAAGGGGAGGAAAAUGAACAUCAUUUCUGGAUUCUUUCAUUGGAAGACAUAUUUCUUUCAAAAACUGCAUAAUUUCUCUCAAAAUUCUUCUCAAGGUGCUACGGAAAUGGAGUUUCACAAUGAGAAAUUCAACCAUUCUUUUAAAAGUUCAAAGGGCUGUCCUUGGAAAUCAAGAUUGAGAUGAAGAAGAACCUAGGAAUGUAGUUGUGCAUAGUCUAGUGCUGUAAAUUUUCUUGUAUACUAUCUGUUUGAUAUAUGAAUGUAUCUGUUAAUAUUGUAUCUAACUUUCUUAUUUGAUUUAUUUGUAUAUUACCCCUAUCAUUGACAGAAUCUAUUUUUUAUUUAAUGUGGCA